CAAAUGUUCUGCUCUGCUGUCUCCACCCUGCUAGGACGUAGGACUCUACUCAGUUCAUUCUAUUGAUCGAUACGGUUGUCCUCAGGAGCGUUGUGGUGGGCUGGAAACUUUCCCAGCUGCCACUGGCAGGUACACCCUAGACAAAAUGCCAGACUAUCACAUGACUAACACAGAAAGACAAAAAUGCAUACCUACAGCCAAUUUACAAUCGUCAAUUAACAAGGAUGUCUUUGGACUGUGGGAGGACUGAGAGAGAUCAUGUCAGCUCGGCAUGGACAAGGCUCCAGAAUUUCCCCACUUCUGCUCUGCCCAGCUCAGCCAUCAAAUCAAGCCUCUGUCCCAGCCUUGGCUUUGGAACUUCAACCAGCAUCUUCCUACGACUCAUUUAUUUAUUUGUGACAGGUGGUAGCCUGAGCUAACAGGUGGGAGAGAGUUGGGGAGCCGGUCUCAAAGUCCAGGCUGCCAACACGACCCCUAUGUCCAUAUUUGGAGUAUCCAAGUGUGGGUGGAGUACAGCUCAUCCAACAUGGUGACCCGGGCUCCGCAUACGUCAGGCUUCGGAAGUAGUGAAAAGUUAGUUCAGAUGAGGAAAACAUCUGGGAAAGGGCCACCGUAAACCAGUGAUGGUGCUCUGCUGCAUUCCUACACUGAUGAAACAUGACUGAAACUCCAUGACCUUUGUAAAUCAAUAAGUUUAAAAAUAGCAUCUAAUUUGCGUUUACAUGUCAGGCAAAUUGAUUAACACUAUAGUGAAAGAUCAAUUGAUUGAAAAGAAAUAACUCUGGUCGAUACAGGAAACAGGCUGGAGGUGCAAAGUCAUGUGUACAGAUUGGCUAGUAACUUACCUAAUGGACUAGAAUGGAAUUGAUUCCACAACGAUGCAUUUUACAGAAACACACAUCACUCCCUGCUAUUAAAAUUUGAAUCAAUA